rnacentral:rRNA from 1 species
AGAACUGAAACAUCUAAGUACCCAGAGGAAGAGAAAACAAUAGUGAUUUCCGGAGUAGCGGCGAGCGAAAUGGAAAUAGCCCAAACCGAAGUUGUUUCGGCAGCUUCGGGGUUGUAGGACUACAAUGUGGACUUAUAGAUUAUAGCGGAAUUAAGUUGGAAAGCUUAACUGUAGAGGGUGAUAGUCCCGUACGCGAAAUAGUCUAUAUACCUAGUAGUAUCCUGAGUAGGGCGGGACAUGUG